AUAGAAAACAAGUCUACUACGAUAAUUUAGUUUUAAAGGUUUCGAUUUAUGAUAUAAUAUUUUAUAGUAUCUUUUAUUCUUAAAUUUUCAUAAGACUUUUUUUAUGAAUGUGGACUAGUUUAACUUAAUUCUGCACGGAUUUAUAAAUCUUAUAUGCUACAAUUACAGGAAAUUGCAUUUCCUUAGAUAAUACUCAAUUAAUAUGUUCAAAUUUUCAAAAUAAUCAUGACGAUGAUUUUAAUUCUAUCAAAACUAUUUCAAAUCCAAUAAUACCCCAGGCAUUAUCUUAUUAUUUUAGCCAAACAAAUCCUCAUAUCCCAAAAUUAUCAUUAUAUUUAGAUAAUGUAACAACUUAUAUUUCGGGAUAUAUAGUACAACAACUUAUUAAAGAAAAAAAGGUACGAUGUGAUGUUUGCAUUAAUGCAAUGGUCAGUGAUUCAUAUAUUGAUAAUAAUAUAAAUAAUAUGCUCAUAAAUUUUAAAAAUAAUGGGGGGUUAGUGAUUCCUUCAUCUAGUAUGUCUAUAUUAUGCCGAAUUUGUGAAAGUUCAUUUAGAACUUAUCAAAAUGAUAUUAAACGUAAAAAUAUUAUUAAAAAAAUGGAAGUGUUGGUUUUUUCCACAAUAAUUGGUACAAAUAUUUUUAUUGAUCUUACUGAACAUAUUAAUGAACAUGAGAUUGGUUACAGCCAUUUUCAAAUUCUUGUAAAAUUAAUUGUUCAAAGAUAUUUAAAUAUUAGAUUUUUUCAUUUUGCUGACUUGAGAAACCAGGAAUUGAGAACUGGUAUGAGGCAAAAUCUUACAAAAGCAAUACAAUUUAAUAAUCAAUAAGUCAUGUGAUGAUAGAAUCAAAAAGGAUGAAUGUUUAUAAUCAAAGAUAAUAUGAAUGUGAAUCAUCACAUUGUUAAAAAUACAUUUUGUUUUUUAAAGUGUACUCUAUAUUUUUAUAUAUUUAUUGUAUAAACCUUAUUUAAAUGAUUUAUAUAAUAAUUUAAACUCAUGCAAAAAAUGUUAUUAUUACACUAUGUUUUUAUUGAAAAAAAAA